CCUACGGGCGACAGCAGUAGGGAAUCUUCCACAAUGGGCGCAAGCCUGAUGGAGCAACACCGCGUGGGUGAAGAAGGUUUUCGGCUCGUAAAGCUCUGUUGUUGGAGAAGAAAGUGCGUGAGAGUAACUGUUCACGCAUUGACGGUAUCCAACCAGAAAGUCACGGCUAACUACGUGCCAGCAGCCGCGGUAAUACGUAGGUGGCAAGCGUUAUCCGGAUUUAUUGGGCGUAAAGCGAGCGCAGGCGGUUGCUUAGGUCUGAUGUGAAAGCCUUCGGCUUAACCGAAGAAGUGCAUCGGAAACCGGGAGACUGGAGUGCAGAAGAGGACAGUGGAACUCCAUGUGUAGCGGUGGAAUGCGUAGAUAUAUGGAAGAACACCAGUGGCGAAGGCGGCUGGCUGGUCUGUAACUGACGCUGAGGCUCGAAAGCAUGGGUAGCGAACAGGAUUAGAUACCCGUGUAGUC
rnacentral:rRNA from 1 species